AAGAUGGCGACCGGCGCACGGGUGAGUAACACGUAUCCAACCUGCCGAUAACUCUGGAAUAGCCUUUCGAAAGAAAGAUUAAUACCGGAUGGCAUACGAAUAUCGCAUGAUAUUUUUAUUUAAAGAAUUUCGGUUAUCGAUGGGGAUGCGUUCCAUUAGUUUGUUGGCGGGGUAACGGCCCACCAAGACAACGAUGGAUAGGGGUUCUGAGAGGAAGGUCCCCCACAUUGGAACUGAGACACGGUCCAA
rnacentral:rRNA from 1 species